rnacentral:rRNA from 1 species
GCCAAUGGCAUUGCCCGGUAGCUAUGUUCGGAACGGAUAACCGCUGAAAGCAUCUAAGCGGGAAGCGAGCCCCAAGAUGAGUCAUCCCUGCACGUAAGUGCUGGAAGGGUUGUUAUAGACUAUGACGUUGAUAGGCAGGAUGUGGAAGCGUUGCAAGGCGUUAAGCUAACCUGUACUAAUUGCCCGAGAGGCUUAACC